rnacentral:rRNA from 1 species
ACGGGGUGCAGCAGGCGCGAAAACUGGCCAAUGCGCGAAAGCGUGAGCCGGCCAAUCCGAGUGGAGACCCAACGGUUUCCUUUUACCAUGUGUUCACAGCUUGGUGAAUAACGAGAGGGCAAGACUGGUGCCAGCCGCCGCGGUAAAACCAGCUCUUGGAGUGGUGAUCAUGAUUAUUUGGCUUAAAGUGUGCGUAGCAGGACAGCGUAAGUCCCCUGUGAAAUGCUAGGUCUUAAGCUUAGCACGUGCAGAGGAUACUGCGCGUCUUGGGACCGGAAUAGGUGUGAUGUACGGUUUGGGUAGGGGUGAAAUCCGAUAACCCAAGCCGGACAACCGGUGGCGAAGGCGUCACACUGGGACGGGUCCGACUGUGAGGCACGAAAGCUAGGGUCGCGAGCCGGAUUAGAUACCCGGGUAGUCCUAUGCCGUAAACGAUGCUCACUAAGUGUUAGGUAAUGCAAGACAUUAUCUAGUGCCGAAGCGAAAGCGUUAAGUGAGCCGCCUGGGAAGUACGUUCGCAAGAAUGAAACUUAAAGGAAUUGGCGGGGGCCUACUACAAGAAGUGGAGCCUGCGGUUUAAUUGGACUCAACUCCGGGAAACUCACCUGGGCCGUAACACGGAUGAUUGUCCUGCUGAAGACACUGCUUGACGUGUUACUGGAGGUGCAUGGCCAUCGUCAGUUCGUGCCGUGAGGUGUCCUGUUAAGUCAGGCAACGAACGAGAUCCCUACCGCUAAUUGCCAGCGAGACCUAUUAG